GACAGAUAUGCAGGGACAGACUGGCAGAGACAGGGAGUCUCAGCACUGGUGGGAGAUAUUUGAAGUAGCCAGUUGUUGCUGGAGAGAGCGAGGGAGAAGGAGCCAGUCAGAGCGCACGACAAGACGUGGCCGGUAGCAGUCAGUCAACGAGGGUAAUAUCCCGGUGCGAGCCAGCACACGGGCAUACAGAGCGAGAGAACAAGACGAGCAGAGAGGAGUAGGACAAGAGAGAGAAGGGAAUGGGCUGGCUGGAAGCAUAAAGAGAUGACCCUGAUCACAACGGCACACAGUAUAGAGGGAUGGAUGGAGCGAGG